UACGGGGGGGGCAAGCGUUGUUCGGAAUUACUGGGCGUAAAGGGCUCGUAGGCGGCCAACUAAGUCGGAUGUGAAAUCCCCAGGCUUAACUUGGGAACUGCAUCCGAUACUGGAUGGCUUGAAUCCGGGAGAGGGAUGCGGAAUUCCAGGUGUAGCGGUGAAAUGCGUAGAUAUCUGGAGGAACACCGGUGGCGAAGGCGGCAUCCUGGACCAACACUGACGCUGAGUGAGCGAAAGCCAGGGGAGCAAACGGG
rnacentral:rRNA from 1 species